UGGUUCUGGCAUCGAUGAAGAACGCAGCGAAAUGCGAAAAGUAAUGUGAAUUGCAGAAUUCAGUGAAUCAUCGAAUCUUUGAACGCACAUUGCGCCCGCCAGUAUUCUGGCGGGCAUGCCUGUCUGAGCGUCAUUUCAACCCUCACGCCCCCCUGGGCGUGGUGUUGGGGACCGGCCGAGCCCUGCGAGGGGACGGCCGCCCCCUAAAUCUAGUGGCGGGACCGCUGUAGCCUCCUCCGCGUAGUAGUGAUACCCCGCGCGUGGAGAGCGGCGAGCCCCUGCCGUUAAACCCCCAACUUCUUCAGGUUGACCUCAGAUCAGGUAGGAAUACCCGCUGA
rnacentral:misc_RNA from 1 species